rnacentral:rRNA from 1 species
UGGGGAAUAUUGCACAAUGGGCGCAAGCCUGAUGCAGCCAUGCCGCGUGUAUGAAGAAGGCCUUCGGGUUGUAAAGUACUUUCAGCGGGGAGGAAGGGAGUAAAGUUAAUACCUUUGCUCAUUGACGUUACCCGCAGAAGAAGCACCGGCUAACUCCGUGCCAGCAGCCGCGGUAAUACGGAGGGUGCAAGCGUUAAUCGGAAUUACUGGGCGUAAAGCGCACGCAGGCGGUUUGUUAAGUCAGAUGUGAAAUCCCCGGGCUCAACCUGGGAACUGCAUCUGAUACUGGCAAGCUUGAGUCUCGUAGAGGGGGGUAGAAUUCCAGGUGUAGCGGUGAAAUGCGUAGAGAUCUUGAGGAAUACCGGUGGCGAAGGCGGCCCCCAGGACGAAGACUGACGCUCAGGUGCGAAAGCGUGGGGAGCAAACAGG